rnacentral:tRNA from 1 species
GCCGAGGUGGCGAAAUUGGUAGACGCACUAGCCUUAGGAGCUAGCGGAGCAAUCCAUGGAGGUUCAAGUCCUCUCCUCGGCACAA